rnacentral:rRNA from 1 species
CCUAUCAUGCGGGUCNAGCGGAUUGAUGGGAGCUUGCUCCCUGAUAUCAGCGGCGGACGGGUGCAGUAACACGUGGGUAACCUGCCUGUAAGACUGGGAUAACUCCGGGAAACCGGGGCUAAUACCGGAUAACUCAUUUCCUCGCAUGAGGAAAUGUUGAAAGAUGGCUUCGGCUAUCACUUACAGAUGGACCCGCGGCCCCUUAGCUAGUUGGUGAGGUAACCGCUCCCCAAGGCAACGAUGCGUAGCCCACCUGAAAGGGGGAUCGGGCACACUGGGACUGAAACACGGCCCACACUCCUACGGGAGGCAGCAUUAGGGAAUCUUCCCAAUGGACUAAAGUCUGACAGAACAACCCCCCUGAUGAUGAACGUUUUCCGAUCCUAAAGCUCUGUUGUUAAGGAAGAACAAGUGCCCUUCGAAUAGGGCGGCCCUUGGCGGCACCUAACCAGAAAGCCGCGGCUAAAUAC